UACAGAGGUGGCAAGCGUUGUUCGGAAUUACUGGGCGUAAAGGGCGCGUAGGCGGUCCCGUCAGUCCCUUGUGAAAUCCCCCGGCUCAACUGGGGAACUGCAAGGGAUACAGCGGGGCUUGAGUUCGGGAGAGGGAAGCGGAAUUCCGGGUGUAGCGGUGAAAUGCGCAGAUAUCAGGAGGAACACCAAUAGCGAAGGCAGCUCGCUGGGACGUUACUGACACUGAGGCGCGAAAGCGUGGGGAGCGAACAGG
rnacentral:rRNA from 1 species